rnacentral:misc_RNA from 1 species
CCGGCCAGUGGGAUGAGCUCCACCCCCCCUCCCAAAGCACUGAAAGAAUAAUAAUAAUAAGUCGACAUUCCCAGCAGGAGCCGACCCGUACCUCCCACAUCGUGUGCGCCAAGCUGGCGUCCCCCUCGCACACACGCGUGCCGGACCUGGCCCAGGUGACGUUGUAGUGCGAACAUGCACGCGUUCUCCACCUGCGCAUGAGCUCGCCCUGAAUAAAAAAACGCCUCCGCUCUGCACUUCGCAAACUUUGGCGAGGCCUACGUGGCCCUCCGAUCAGGACGGCAUCACAGAGGUGUCGUGGGGGGGGUACCCCCAUCGGGAAGACUCCGAUGGGUCGCGUUGCUGCACCUGCAACGCAACCAUCAUACACAUCUCUCGCGAAAUGACGUAGAUCUCGCCGGGGCGUGCGUGACGCUGCACGAAGAGGGCGAGCACAGGAAACUCGCAUCCGCUCAGGAAUUCCGCUCUGUCUUGGAAGAGGUGUGAGUUUGAGAUGGCCGACUCGCGUGUACCCCCACAGCAGCCCCAGUGAUUGCCUUCCCGCCUCAAACACGGUGGCCACCGCCUUACGGAGCUGCCGCGCCCACAAUGCGACGCCUACACGGCACAGGGCGCACCGAUGGCGCCCGCAUCCCCGCAGGGUGACCGUGAGCAGAGGGAAGCAGCCGAAGGAGAGCACGCAUGUGCUCCCCACGCCUCGAAUACGCGCCAUCUUGCUCCCGUGCAGGUUACCCGGCUCUCACAGCCUGACGAGGAGGAGGGGCCAUCCUGCGCGUCCUACAAGCCGUGCCCGAAACCAGCCCAUGGACGCCUACCAGUGGCCAAAGAAGAGCGGAGGGAGCCCCCUUGCACGCGGCACAGAGGAAAGCGAUGCACCUUGCCGAUCUGUGUGGCGAGAUGAGAAGCGAGAACCAGCAACGGAUGCGGUGCAUGGAAAGUACCCCCGACCAGUGCCCCCGCGCGUUCCCAGAAAGCGUCACUCCUCCGCCGCCGGUGACAGACGCGGAUGUCGAGGCCCCUCCCCUCAGUGGCAGCAAUCGUUAUGGUGUGCCCAGCGCAGCACCAACCCCUCUCCUUGAAUGGGCCCCCACCGUCGUGGAAGAGAAGAAAGGACGUAUCGGACGGCGGCACCUUCAUUCUCUGGCCGCGACAAGUCAACAGCUGGCCAGAUGAGCAGCGUUACAACGCGGAGGUGGGUCUGGAUGCGCAGCCACGGGAGAACUCGUGCUCGACGACUGUGUGUGUGUGUGGGGAGGGUGGCAGGUCUGGCAAAGUCAUCUUUUCCAGGUGCGUCUUUCCGUGCAUCUGCGGCCGCUCUUGAGUCUGCGAACCAGGGACCGCUCCGUGCAUCAGCGAAGAGCGCACCCGAAUGAGCUUGGCUGUUGGCCCAGAGGAUGACGUGGGUGGCAACAGCAACAUCGGCCUGCCAUCCUAUGUGUGCCGCGCGACCCGCCUCCGAAAUUCACGUGAAGGUCUGCAUCGACAGCAUCCAACGGACGGGUGGUCGACAGGCGGUGGAGACAGCUCUGCAGGGGCCCCGAAUCGCCGCGGAAAAGCUUAGCGCCACCUCGAAUGACGACGAGACCUGCACCUGCAACAUGUCUGCGUUGGCUGGCGUGGCGCUUGACCACAACUUCGGAACGGUCUGCGGUGGAAAACAGACGUGCACCCAGCUGAGCACCGAUUCGUUCAAGCAGCUGACAAGGAGGAAGAGCUGGGAUGGCUCAUGGGUCGGCUUUGGUGUGCCGCCCGAGUCGUGCACAUGCCCCCUCACAAAUUUUGUCUUUUCCUCGCGGCGACGCGCCGGCUCUGCUCGAAAACGGUCACGAGGCCUCCACUGUGGUUCCUCGUGGGCGGAUCUGCCUCAGAGCGCCCAAAGCGAACUCCGCUUGUGGCGCCAACGAGCAGCACCGAAUAUAAACCACGUUGCGCCGCACGUCUUUCGGCGUCUGCCGCAGAGCACGGCCUUCACAUAGGCUGCAACUCCAGGAGGACGGUGAGGGGGAGGGUGCGCAGUACGCAUGCAUCCGCAUACGAGGCAGAUGGUCGUCACCGGUAGCCUCUGAGGGGAAGGGGAGGGGCGCCAGGCGCAAAUAGCAUCAACUCGGCUGGGCUCUGCGCGGUUUGCUGUGCCUUGUAGGCAUAAACAACAUUUCCAAAGAAAGCGAAGAACAGCAGCAGCACCACACCUUCCCAAAGACAGCACGCCGGUCCUCUCUGCCCUCCGUAAAGGCUGCGCACGCGGCCAUGCGAUUCAUGCUGCAAUGCAUGCACGGAAAACUUUUUUUCCCAUACGCGGCCACUUCUGAAAAACAGCAAAUCCGCCGCUAAUCCUGCAGGCCGCCGGAACCGCGACCCUGCGUACCACGCGUGACGGGGUCUACCUAGCAACAUGGCAAAGAGCACGACGUGAUGGAUGAGGGCGGGAGGGAGGGGGUGGACCCUGCACUGCCCGUAGAGGUCAUCAAAACGCGAUAAACAGCGACGCUGUGAAAACGGAAUGCAGAGGUCGGCCACCCCCCACACGGCCUACUGAACUGCAUCGAACACGUUUGAUGGCACCGUUCAUGACCGGCUAGACAACGGGGGAUGGAACCCCUCAAAUCUAUGACUUCCUUAUCUUUCCUCUCUCCAUGAUCUCAGAUUGGCGAGGGCGCGAAGUACCUAUCCGUGUGCGCGUGUGUAUCUUUACCGACACUUGGGUGUUCGGAUGCUCGAGCGAGCGUGAGUCGUUGCGAGCGCUGCGGUGCCAGCGUCGACAGAGCAUCUCUGCUGCUGAUCCCGUGGAAGAGCGAACUGCGCGUCGUGUCGCCACUGUGCCCAUGAACAAAAGGAAGAGCAGAACGCGACAACAGCAAAAAAAAAGCAGAUUGGGCGAAGCGAUUGUGGAUGCAGUGUAGUGAGUGGGAGACCUGGAGACUGGCGGUGGGCUCUAUCUUGUUGCAGCUCCAGCUCGUCUCGUGGCGCGAGAGCCCCGCCGUCUUGUGCUGUCGUCGUCUAUGCACACACGUGCGAGCAGUGUGCAUAAGCAUGUAUGCGCACGUGGACGCCACGCCGAUCCUCUGCGCUCGCGCCUUUAUGAUUUGAGUCGCCAAGACCGAGGAGGCCAAUGGGGCCAGCUUCCGGCUUGCGCCGCAGUGGAGGUGACAGCACGGAUCAGUCGCAGCCCGAAACGAGGGCCACGUUUGCUUUCUACACGCGAUGCACAAGAGUUGACACGACUGCCUGUCUUCAAGGAUUCGGCACUUCUUUCUUCUCCAUCAUUCUCUCUACCUGUGGUCCUAUGGCCCUAG